AGGGAAAGAGCUUGCUCUUUCCGGAAUUGAGUGGCAAACGGGUGAGUAACACGUAAACAACCUGCCUUCAGGAUGGGGACAACAGACGGAAACGACUGCUAAUACCGCAUGAUACAUUUGGGUGGCAUCAUCUGAAUGUCAAAGAUUUAUCGCUGAAAGAUGGCCUCGCGUCUGAUUAGCUAGUUGGUGAGGUAACGGCCCACCAAGGCGACGAUCAGUAGGGGUUCUGAGAGGAAGGUCCCCACAUUGGAACUGAGACACGGUCCAAACUCC
rnacentral:rRNA from 1 species